rnacentral:rRNA from 1 species
GAUGAACGCUGGCGGCGUGCCUAACACAUGCAAGUCGAACGAACAGACGCUGCGCUUGUUUCUUUCUCGUUUGCGGCGCGCGGGAGUGUCACACGUGUAUACCCCCCUUGAAUUUGUGAUAACUUUUGGGGACAGCGGCGCUUACCGCGGAGAAUCUUCUGAACCGUGUGGUUGAAUAGAAAAAUUCGGCCUUUGUGUCUGGUCUCGCGGCAUCUCCGCUGCAUUAGCUAGUUGGUAAGGUAACAGCCUACCAAGGGUACGAUGCCUAGCCGACGUGAGAGGCGGGUCGGCCGCACUGGAACUGAGACACGGUCCAGACUACUGCGGGAGGCAGCAGUAGGGAAUCGUCGGCAAUGGGCGAAAACCUGACGGAGCAACGCCGCGUGAGUGAUGAAGGUCUUCGGUUCGUAAAACUGUGUUAUGGGGGAAGAACAGAUGUGUAAGGAACUGUGCACAUCUUGACGGUACCGAAUCAGAAAGCAACGGCUAACUACGUG